rnacentral:rRNA from 1 species
AUUGAACGCUGGCGGCAUGCUUUACACAUGCAAGUCGAACGGCAGCACGGACUUCGGUCUGGUGGCGAGUGGCGAAUGGGUGAGUAAUACAUCGGAACGUACCCAGUAAUGGGGGAUAACUAUCCGAAAGGAUAGCUAAUACCGCAUACGCCCUACGGGGGAAAGAGGGGGAUCGCAAGACCUCUUGUUAUUGGAGCGGCCGAUGGCUGAUUAGCUAGUUGGUAGGGUAAAGGCCUACCAAGGCAACGAUCAGUAGCGGGUCUUAGAGGACGAUCCGCCACCCUGGAACUGAGACACGGUCCAGACUCCUACAGGAGGCAGCAGUAGGGAAUCUUGGACAAUGGGCGCAAGCCUGAUCCAGCAAUGCCGCGUGCGUGAAGAAGGCCUUCGGGUUGUAAAGCGCUUUUGUCAGGGAGCAAAUCCUUGUGGCUAAUACCCACCGGGGAUGAGAGUACCUGAAGAGUAAGGACCGGCUAACUACGUGCCAGCAGCCGCCGUAAUAC